ACACCAAUGGUGAAGCGGUUAUCAUGCUUGCCUUCCAGUGAAAAUAGAAAUAUAUUGACUUUGGCAGCAAGCGGCAGGGGUUCGACUCCCCUUUGGUGUA